rnacentral:rRNA from 1 species
AGGAUCAUUAUUGAAUGAAUGUAGAGUUGGUUGUCGCUGGCCCUUUCGGGGGUAUGUGCACGCCUUCUCUUUCAUCCACACACACCUGUGCACUUGUGAGACGGAGGGCUUUAAUUAGUCUUCCGUCUAUUCAACCACACAAACUCAUUGUAUUUAAACUGAAUGUAAUUGAUGUAACGCAUCAUUAGAACUAAGUUUCAACAACGGAUCUCUUGGCUCUCGCAUCGAUGAAGAACGCAGCGAAAUGCGAUAAGUAAUGUGAAUUGCAGAAUUCAGUGAAUCAUCGAAUCUUUGAACGUACCUUGCGCUCCUUGGUAUUCCUUGGAGCAUGCCUGUUUGAGUAUCAUGAAAUUCUCAAAGUAAAUCUUUUGUUAAUUCAACUGGUUUUGCUUUGGACUUGGAGGUCUUUGCAGAUUUCACGUCUGCUCCUCUUAAAUGCAUUAGCUGGAUCUCAGUAUAUGCUUGGUUCCACUCGGCGUGAUAAGUAUCACUCGCUGAGGACACUGUAAAAGGUGGCCAGGAAAUACAGAUGAACCGCUUCUAAUAGUCUAUUAAGUUAGACAAUUUAAUUUUAAGAUCUGAUCUCAAAUCAGGUAGGACUACCCGCUGAACUUAAGCAUAUCAAUAAGCGGAGGAA